CAGCAGCCGCGGGAAUACAGAGGGUGCAAGCGUUAAUCGGAAUUACUGGGCGUAAAGCGCGCGUAGGUGGUUUGUUAAGUUGGAUGUGAAAGCCCCGGGCUCAACCUGGGAACUGCAUCCAAAACUGGCAAGCUAGAGUACGGUAGAGGGUGGUGGAAUUUCCUGUGUAGCGGUGAAAUGCGUAGAUAUAGGAAGGAACACCAGUGGCGAAGGCGACCACCUGGACUGAUACUGACACUGAGGUGCGAAAGCGUGGGGAGCAAACAGGAUUAGAUACCCCUGUAGUCCCUGUCUCUUAUAC
rnacentral:rRNA from 1 species